AACGAACGCUGGCGGCAGGCUUAACACAUGCAAGUCGAACGCAUCCUUCGGGGUGAGUGGCAGACGGGUGAGUAACGCGUGGGAACGUGCCCUUCAGUUCGGGAUAACCCAGGGAAACUUGGGCUAAUACCGGAUACGUGCGAGAGCAGAAAGAUUUAUCGCUGAAGGAUCGGCCCGCGUCUGAUUAGCUAGUUGGUGGGGUAAUGGCCCACCAAGGCGACGAUCAGUAGCUGGUCUGAGAGGAUGAUCAGCCACAUUGGGACUGAGACACGGCCCAAACUCCUACGGGAGGCAGCAGUGGGGAAUAUUGGACAAUGGGCGCAAGCCUGAUUCAGCCAUGCCGCGUGAGUGAUGAAGGCCUUAGGGUUGUAAAGCUCUUUCGUCCGGGACGAUAAUGACGGUACCGGAAGAAGAAGCCCCGGCUAACUUCGUGCCAGCCGCCGCAGAAA
rnacentral:rRNA from 1 species